GACGAACGCUGGCGGCGUGCUUAACACAUGCAAGUCGAACGGAAAGGCCCUGCUUUUGUGGGGUGCUCGAGUGGCGAACGGGCGAGUAACACGUGAGUAACCUGCCCUUGACUUUGGGAUAACUUCAGGAAACUGGGGCUAAUACCGGAUAGGAGCUCCUGCUGCAUGGUGGGGGUUGGAAAGUUUCGGUGGUUGGGGAUGGACUCGCGGCUUAUCAGCUUGUUGGUGGGGUAGUGGCUUACCAAGGCUUUGACGGGUAGCCGGCCUGAGAGGGUGACCGGCCACAUUGGGACUGAGAUACGGCCCAGACUCCUACGGGAGGCAGCAGUGGGGAAUAUUGCACAAUGGGCGGAAGCCUGAUGCAGCAACGCCGCGUGCGGGAUGACGGCCUUCGGGUUGUAAACCGCUUUCGCCUGUGACGAAGCGUGAGUGACGGUAAUGGGUAAAGAAGCACCGGCUAACUACGUG
rnacentral:rRNA from 1 species